rnacentral:misc_RNA from 1 species
AUAUCAAUAAUAAUAAGCUCUCUAUUAAAAUACCUAAAUUACUUCUGUAUUUAUAUACAAAUAAAUAGUCCUACUACUAGUACUACUAGAAAUUCCAAAAUAAGAAAAAUACUAAAUCAAUCUAAUUAGAAUAUAAAACCAACACCAACUAAAUAUAAACCAACGCUUACAAAUUCUAAAUAAAGAAUUCCUAAAUAAUUAAAAUAUUGCUUCCUAAUUACAUUUCCUAAAUAAUAGAAACCUAUACUUUCUAAUUGUACUAGAAAUUUGAAUUAAAGAUCUUAAUUUUACAAUACUUCAUUAUGUAGAUUUAGUAUUAGAAUUCAUUAUACCAAUAACUACUCAUGGUCACAUCUUUUGGUCCCAAGUUCCAUCAGUUUAGGAGGCAAAACUCAAGGCACCUCAUCACAAGUUGGGCAAGAAAAUAUAUUCUAGAAACUACGAUUCAGAAUGAUCAAUCCAGGAUGUUAGUACAUUUAUUAACUUUAGAUAAAAAAAAGAUCUGGAACAUGGUGUACUUUUGUUCCAAGAAACUAAUUUUUGCAUUUCACAAAAUUUGUUCUUUUUCUUCACUUCUAUGAUAAAUUAUGAACCAUACUAGAAAUGAUGUAGACACUUUACAAAUAACAAAGCUUUGGGCCAAACAGGGGCUAAAACCAG